rnacentral:tRNA from 1 species
UCUCUGGUGGUCCAGUGAUUAAGACUCUGCGCUUCCACUGCAGGAGGCACGGGUUCUAUCCCUGGUCAGGGAA